rnacentral:rRNA from 1 species
CUACCCGGGUUUCUAAUCCUGUUCGCUCCCCACGCUUUCGUCCAUCAGCGUCAAUCCACUGUUAGUAACCUGCCUUCGCAAUGGGUAUUCCAUGUAAUAUCUAAGCAUUUCACCGCUACACUACAUAUUCUAGUUACUUCACAAUAAUUCAAGUCCUACAGUAUCAAUGGCAGUUCGACAGUUGAGCUGCCGGAUUUCACCACUGACUUAUAAAACCGCCUACGGACCCUUUAAACCCAAUGAUUCCGGAUAACGCUUGGAUCCUCCGUAUUACCGCGGCUGCUGGCAC